UACAGAGGUCUCGAGCGUUAGGCGGAAUCACUGGGCUUAAAGCGUGUGUAGGCGGAUCGGUAAGUACCUUGUGAAAUCCCACAGCUUAACUGUGGAACUGCUUGGUAUACUGCCAGUCUUGAGCCACUUAGGGGCUACCGGAACAAAUGGUGGAGCGGUGAAAUGCGCAGAUAUCAGGAGGAACACCGGUGGCGAAGGCGGGUCUCUGGGCCGAUACUGACGCUGAGGAGCGAAAGCGUGGGGAGCGAACAGG
rnacentral:rRNA from 1 species